UAAUAUGUUAAAUUUUAUUCAAGAAAAAAAAAUACAUGUUCUUUACAACUGUUUGAGCACUAGUUCUUUAGCAAUAAUACAUGAACAACUUAUGAUUGUGAGGAGAUACGAGGGUCUUCUCUUACACUGAACCAAAUUUGGAUAGAAAACAAUCCUCACGUGGGCUCUGCUGGAGGAAGAGGCUCAGAAAUCUGGUUAAGGAUCUCAUCAUAUGAGGAGGAAUCAGGAGAAGGAGGUCUCGGUGGUGUCUCCAUCUCGACGAUCUGGUCUGCGGUGGCUUGGAGGCUUCGCGGCAAGGAAGACGACAGCGAGGAAGCUUCACGGUGGGGAGAAGCAGCGGCUCAGCGAGGAGAGAGAGAGCGCUCGACGAGGGAGAGAGAAGAAGAAAGAGAAGGCUGGGGGCGCAGGAGAAGAGAGAAAAGGAGGCAGAGAUUUAGUUUUGUGUUUAGGGUUAGGGAAAAGAGAUUAAGAUGGGUAUUUAUAGGGAGGAGAUUAUAGUUGGUUCAAAUAAAAGAGGAAAACCAAUUGGGAAAAGGAAAUUAAACCAAAACCCAAUGCGUUUGGGUUUCACAGUUCAUCACAUCCAAACUCUGGUAUUCUGCAGUCAUCAUGAUUUGGUUUUUUUCUCGCUGUAGAAAAUUGUUAGUUAUUUCAGAAGUAUGCUUGCAUUUUUGUUGUUUUGAUAAGUCUUUUUACAUGACUUCUUAGAGAUAAGAUGAAUGGAAGAAGCGGUGAUUCCGACGCUGGAGCUUCAAAAACUGGUGGAUCUAUGGUUGUAGAGAAGUUCAAAUCGCCAAAGGUUUGCUGCAUCGAUCUAUGGUGCUUGUCUACGCUUGGAAGCUUGCGGAAUGCAUCAAGUGAAGAACUCUAAAGACUCUUUUUGCAAGCAGAAUAUUUUUUAGAGACAGGUUAAUCUUUUUCCCUCUCUAUGGAAUCUCUCAAAGCAUUACAAGAGAGAACCAUACUUAAACCGCAGGAGAGGCUGAUCUCUUUAAAAAAAUACAAAAUUUGCUUCUUUUACGACGUGCCCUUUUUGGGCUUGGAUGUAAUGUUGCUGUCACUUUAUAAUCAAGUGUUGUAGUUCAUAUUUUUUUAGCUUGAUUUCUAUGCAUUCUAUUCGACACAACUUGAGAUAAUAAAAUAUCUCAGAAACAGUUGACAAAAGAAAAAUAUCUCAUAAAGCAUGUUUCAGAACUUGUAAUCACUAUUUGGUAUACUGUGUACGUGUUGUAAUGGAAAAAUAUCAAACUCCUAAAUAACUAGAUAGAUGAUCAUUUUACUACAAGAGAAUAAGAGAGUUUAGACAAAAUCAGAUUUUCCUUUUUGACAUUUUUUUUUUUCUGGAAAGGUAUUGACUUUGGGUAUAAGAAAUAAACCAUUUUUUCAUAGACUUCAACAAUUUUAAAGUACAAUAUUUUUUUGUAAUAGAUGAUAGGUUUGGAAAUUUUUGUAAGCCUAAUAAACCAUCUUAGAAAACAAAAUUGGGAACCAAAUUAUCGCAAACACAUAAGAAACAAAAAAUUUCAAUCACAGAGACUUUGUCUGCACACUUCAACCGUAGACUGUAGACGAAGUAUACUCUUCCAAGCUAACUAGCUAUUAAAUCAACAAAUUCGAUUCCACAAUAAAUAUCGACUUAAAAAAAAAUGAAACUCAUUGUCGGAGGUGACAAAGUAACCCCUUGAGGGUGUAGUAGUUAGACCAGUUGGUAACACACAUUCCAAAACCUAAAAAUUAAAAAAAAAUUGUUAUAUAUAUUCUAUAAAAUUGUUUUUAAAAUAAUAAUACCAAGCAGACUUCGUGUGCAGACUUUAUCUGUAAAUUGCUGGAGAAGUCUAAUUUAACAAGCUAACUAGCUUAUAAAUAAAUAAAAACUCGAUUCCACAAUAAAUAUUGACUUAAAUCAAAUGAAAAUCAUUGAGUAGUUCAACCACUUGCUAACACACAUGUCCAAACUUAAAAAUUAAAAAAAAAACAUUCUAAAUACUUUAGAAAAACAUUUUUAAAGUAAAUACAAAAAUUAAACUUCCCAACUAGACUUCAUGAGUAAGGAGAAGUCUACUUUUUUCCUGUAGAAAUCUGUGAAAGAAGUCUACUUAAAAAAGGUUAUUAUUGCAAUUGACCAAAAUGUUGACUAUAUCAUAUUAGACUUCACUUGUAGACUUCCAAUAGAAAAUGUUAGUUUUGCAUUUGACCAGAUCAUUGGCUUUUGGAGUAGACUUCUUAUAUGAGUAUACUUCUCUGACAGUCUACUAAAGAAAUCUACUGGAUUCAAUAGAAGUCUACAGGUUAAAAUAGGUUAUUUUUGUAAUUGAUUGUUCAUAGUAGUCUUCACUGGGAAGUUUACUAAAAAAAGUAAUUUUUGUGUUUGACAGGAAAAUUGAAGUAGACUUCAGGAAUAAGUUUACUUUGAUUUUAGACUUCAUCCUGAAGUCUACUUUAUUUUUUGGGAUUUUUUUUUUUAAGUUUUAAUUUUAGUCAAACACAAAAAUUACUUCAAUGAUUUUGGUCAAAUACAAAAAUAACUUAAAACUAGACUUUUAGAGCAGACUUAUAAAGAGAGCAACUUUUUAAAAGUCAAAGUAAGGUCAACAACAAAAAUAACCUCUUUUUCUGUCGACUUCUCGCAACUUCAAACAAAGUUUACUAGUUUAUUUUUUUGUUUUCAAAGGAUAACGAGUAGACUUCUCCUGAAAUCUACUGAAGUCUACUCGUUACAAAUUUUUGAAAAGUCAACUGCAAAACUAACCUUAUGUUGAUUAGUAAACUUCACGAUACAGAUAUAGAUAUUACCAAAAUUAAAGUGUAUCAUUACCUAUAUCGGUUUUGUGUUCGUUUUUAGGUCUCUCAUGUACCCUGAACUAUUUCACCAAAAAAAAAACAACGCAGGUCAUGGUUAUGCAAGAAUCACCAAAAAUACUUCACUUAUGACAUUGUAAAUCAACCCAGAAGUUUUGGAGAUGAAAUUAGAAAAGAAUAAAGAAGAUUAUGAGUGUAUGAGCUCUAAUAUUUAGUUAUUACAGCUUUAAUAAUCAGUUGAGAAGCAUUUAAAUCUUGAAACUGGUUGUUCAUGGUGGUUGGAAGUAUUGAAAAAGAUGAAAUUUUGUAAUAAAAAGGGGUUUAGGAGGUCCAAGGGGUUUUUGUGUAAUAAUUUUAAAAAUUGAAAUAAAUGAUAUAUAAUAACAUUUUCGUGAAUAUAUAAGAGCAUCUCCAAUCCAGGUUCAUCAGGGGUUCAUCAGUGGGGUCCAACUGUUUUUGGGUUUUUUUAAAAAAUCCAAAAGUCCAAUUUUCCAAUAAACCCGUCUCUUUAGGAUGAACCCGACAAAUCCGUCUUUUUAGAAGUUCAUUGGCAAUGUGUCAUAUUCCCAUUGGCCUUUGGUAAAUAAAUUAUGUGGAUAAAAAUUUGGUCGGGGUUCAUCACUCUUUAAGGAGAGGUUCAGGGUUGGAGGUGCAAAAAAUUAUGGGUUCAUCACUGUUCAAACAAAAAAAUAAUAAAAAAAAUCUCAAAGAAGUCCAAGUAGGGAUUCAGGGUUGGAGAUGCUUUAAGAGAGAAUGAUAAACUAUUUACAAAGUGGCAAAAAUAGGAAAAAAAAGUUAUUUUGGUGGUUGACUUUUCAAAAGAAGGUUAUAUAUGAAAUAAACCCUAAAUUUAUAACAUAGAUUCAAGAAAAAAUCCAACUAUAAUAUAUAUGAUUUUUAAGAUGUUUGAACUAUAUUUAUGAUACCUAAUAUACCAGAAUAUAUAUUCACCAGAUUGUAGAAGAAUCCAUCUCUUGGUAAUGGAACUUGUAUCUUGCGCACAAUUGUAUAAGAAAUUUGAGAAAUAAGGUGUAUAUUAUGUUGUCCAUAUAUAAUAGGGAUGCCAUUUAAACGAUGAAAAUAACUGAAAUAUUACCAGUUUUACGAGUUCAACAACAAACUAGCGAUCACAACAUGGUUUUAUUGCAUACAAACUCCCCAUCCCAGCUUAUUCAAACGCACUUUCACUCUUCUAUAUAACGAGGGAGAAAGUUAGCAAAUUCCACACCCAAGUCGUGAUAGUCUCGGAAGAAGAUAUUAUACACCUGCAAAGUAUGUAAUCAUCAAACCCAAUACGAGAAUUCUAAAGAGAAAAAAAAAACAGUUUUAAUAAUAUACACUUUACAAAGUAGUUACACACAUAUAUACCUCAAGGUAGAACUCAGCAAAGCUCUUCUUGUUCUCAGCUUGCAUGCGCAACAUCUCUGUAUGCACGAUCGUCUUGCAACCUUGCCUACAGAUAAAUGUGGUUAAUAGAAAAACGGCAAAGUAUGAAAAGAGAAAAUAAUUUUAUAUUAGGGUUAAUUUGCUUUCAGUUUUUGAAUAAAUAAGAGAAGAAAAAAAAAAUCAAAUCAAAUCGAUAAUCGAAUUGUCCAUCCCUUUUUUCUAGCAUGGGUGAAGGUGCUUACCUUGACCUAUUGUUAAAACUAACAGCGUCCCAGAAGUCAGGUAUUGGUCGUGGAGUUUAAUCACGCUCGAGUGUUAUAAGAUAACACUCUGGCAAGAAUUUAUUUAAACCCAAAAUCAGUUCUUGGUGGCCUUCGAAGAGAUCUUUUACCUUUGCUCUCACACAACAACUACAAAUUCUACAAUGAAAAUACCAUCAAAUUCUCCAGCUCUCCAUAAAUCAUGGGGAGGCAAAUAUGAACUUAUUAUUUGGAGACAAAUAAUAACAAAACAUUAUGAAGGAAAUCAAUCAUUAACAGUGAGAAUAUACCUCUUAGUUUUAAGGUCCUUCAUGACCUUAAGAAAUGUAUAAUAUAUUUCACGAUUAUCAUGAAAUUCAUCCCAAACAGUUUUGAUGUAUUCACGUGCAUCCGUAAUACAUUGCCUCAUUGUGACCAUGUUUUAAAAUUACCUAUAAUGUUUUUAAUUAUUCAGAGAAAGAGAGAGUAUAUCAAUGUAAAUCAAUCAAAAGGCGUAACAAAAAGAAAUUCAAAAUCUAUAUUUUCCGAUAAUCAAACUCGAAAUCAUAUCUAGUCAUCAUAAAAAAAAUCAUAAGAAAUAUUGCAAUGAAAUUCGAAGCUACCAAUCAGAAAAUCUGAGUCUAACUUAACCCAGAUAUUAUUUAACAAUAUAAACGUAUAAAUGCUCGAAACAAAGUUUAAAAGAAAAGCCAUAAGAUAAAACUAUACAAGUUCAUCGUACAACUAGAUGGAAAAGUUUCUCCUUACCUCACACGGAGCACGUAAAUAAGACUUGAGCAAUUCCCACCCUUGAACAACUCCUAAAAAAAUACAUGAGAGAAGGUUAAUUUAUUACAUAACACUUAUAAAGAAAUGUAAAGUACAUUAAAAAAAAAAUUCUUUUAGGGUAACAUUUAAAAUUAUUACUCUUUUUUUCCUUACCUUUUUCUUCUUAUUUGACUAUAUUUUAUUUUGUUAUUUUAUUUGUUAUUUUAUAAAUUGAUGACAUAUGAAUUUUUAAAUUAACUUUUUUAUUUCAAAAACUAUUAAAAAUUUUAGCUAGUAAAACUAAAAUAUUGACCAUAAAUAUAUGUUCUGUUUUAAAGAUUUAUAUGGUUCUGAAUGGUGAUUAGUUGAGGAAUAAUAAGAAUGAAAAGAAAAAGAAUAGGAAUAUUUUUUUUCUUUAUUAUUCCUUCUAUAGUUUUAUUAAAAUAUUUUAGUUCUAUGCAAUUGGUUGUUCCUUAAAAAAGAAAGAAUGAACAGUAUAUUGUUUUAAGAACAAAGAUGAAUUCAUUGUUCCUCAAUAUUUAUAAACUAGAUUUUACCUUUUACGUCCGCACGAAAACUAUUUUUUAUUUAUGUAAUAUAAUUUCUGUUUUAUUUUUGUUCAUAUAUAAAUUUUUUAAUAAUUGAUAAAAAAUUUAUGUUUAAAUAUAAUUUGUUUCUAUUAAUUUAUCUUUUCUAGUAUUAUAUAUGACCGAGAUUAGAAAAAUAUUAUUCUAACUUGUCAAUUGAUAUUGAUUUUAAAAAUAUCACAAUUAAAAAUAUUAUUAUAACAUGUUCAUUUAUAUUAAUCUGAAAAAACUAAAAUUAUUAAAAUAUUUAACAUGUCCGUUAAUAUUAUUUAUAUAUUUUAAAUAUUUAAAUUUUAAAAUUAUUUAAUAAAAAUAUAAUAAUAUAUUAUUUUCAUUUCUUUCAUUGAAAAUAUUAUUUAAAUUUAAAUAUUUAAAUUAGAUCUAAAUUCAUAUUUGGGUUAUUAUUUUGUACAGAUAUAAUAAUAAUUUAUUUUAUAAUUUUUGAUACUAUAACAUAUAUUUAAGGAAAUCUAUAACAUCUAAAUUAAAAGCUAAAUUUUCGAAUUUAUAUUAAAAUUAAAAGUAUAAAUUUAUUAUUUUAUUAAUAUUACACUAAAUUAAAUUAUUUAGUAAAUAUAAAUUAAAAUCAUAAUUAUUUGACUACAGAAUAGUUAUCCAAAAAAACAGAAUAGUAGAAAACCAAGUAAAAAUUCUGUUUGGACAUAAAACACCAUUUUCUUUUAAUAAUAUAGAUAUGUAUUUAGAAAUGAAGGAGAACUGAUUGUUCCUUAUCAUUUGGUCACCAUUUAAAGUCUAUGUAUUUGAUAAAAUAACCAAUAAAUGAAAUAUACAUAGCAAACAAUUAUACCUAUUAGUAUAACUUAAAAACUAAGUCGAAUUUUUUUAUAUAUCUUCAGGUGGACAUCAGAAUUCUAAAUUCUUUCAUGUUUCUAGAAUCUAAACCUUAUGCUUUCUCUACUAGAAAAUGUAACACCCUGAUAUGUAAACACUCUGAUACACACAUGAAUUUUGCCUCAGAUUUAGUUUAAUUUUUAGGAUAUAUUUUUUUUUAAAGAAGAACAAUAUAUAUAUAUAUAUAUAUAUAUAUAUCCUAUAAAUUUUUAGGAUAUAUUUGAUCAAAAAAUAUAAUUAGGGCUUUCUCUCAGUAUCUCUCUGCAGAUAUAAUUGGCUUAUUCUUAAUUUAGUGAUAAUGAUUUAUAAUAUAAAAGAACUAUAUGUUUGAUGGUAUCAGUUGACCGAAUUAAAACCCAAAAGUUAUUUGGUUUUCAAUUUGACUUUGAUUUUGAUUCAAUUUUCAUAAAAAUAACAAGCAUCAUGCAAAUAAUUAAGGAGAUUACUAUUCUCAAAAUAUACAUAUAGAAUGUACUUUCGAUAGACAUCAAUAAAAAAACAAAAACCAAAGAACCAGAAAGAAAGGAAAACUGAGAAAAUAAAAAAGGGGAGAAACUCUUAAUACGCUUAUCUCGAACCAAAUCGGAAAAAAGGAAACAUAUACUGGAGUAGGUGAUCCGAAUGUUUAGUGAUGAUGAGAUGUCAACGUGCGUAUCCACUACGGUCCAUAGGCGACAACUUUGGAACAUUGGUUGUUGGUCAGGUCCGACCACGACUUGAAGCUUAAGCCCAGCCUCACAGUGACCUGGCUUCGAGCUUAUGAAAUAAUGAACUCCUGGUUUGGUGAGCCUGACGAGAUCGUAGCCAGUCUUGUGCAAGGCAACAGGUGAAGUCAUGUUGCAGUAUAAGAAUUCCAGAUCACCGCUGAUUUCUAAGACGUCGUUUAAUUCUUGGCCGUAUUUAAAAAGGAGAUUGUCUCCAACAUGAAACUCUUUCUCCUCGCUCCAGUUGUAAUAGUAGUCACUGUCGUAAACCCUCCAUCCUUUGGAGUCACCGACCUUGUAGAUCUUUCCAGAAGAAAGGACCUGGCUCUGUGGUGGUGGUGGAAUCAGACGUGACUGGUCAUGGACGACAAGAACCUCGGACAUGAGCAUUGAGUAUGAUUUGAAGUGAUGAAGAAGUAAGAACCAGGUUCCCUAAGGGUUACCGCAUGGUGUCCUGUGUUGUAGACGGCUAUAGGAAAAGAAGAGUCGCAGAAUUGGGACUCCAAAGCUCUGGUGACUUGUGUGAGGUCGUUAAGUUGUGAUUGUAUUCAAAGACCAGAGAAUCUCUAACGUGAAAUUUCUUAUGCUUGGCUCAACCUUAAUAGACGUCGUAUUUGGCAUUCCAUCCUUUGGAGUCUCCCACUUUGUAGAUCGUCGCGGAGCAGCAACCCAAGAGAAUUGUGAAGGUUGUUAUUAUCACGAUCAAGAACCUCAACACCUUCUUAGUUUUUGUUGAAGCCAUGAUUCGAUGGUAUACGAAGAGAAGGAACUAACAAGUAAACAAGAAAAAUGUCGCUGAAUGAGAUCGAGAAAGAGAUAGAGAGGUUUGAAGGAAAAGUUUCGAUAAUGUGUUUGUGAGGAAAAAUACGUUACCCUAUCACUAUUUAUAUAGUGCAUUUAACGAUUAUAAUCCUUGCUUUGUUUACGUUUUCAUUUAGCUUAUUUCCUUUUUCUAAAACAUCCCACUAUUUAAUCUAAAGAACUUGAAUGAAAUAGCUUUAAUAAUUAAAGGGGGAAUUGCUAAAAAUAGGCCACAAUUUGAUUCCAAAUGCAAAAGUAUACUCUAAAUUCAACCUAUUGCAAAAAUAGGUCAGAGGAGUAGAGAAAUUACCAUUAUCUCUUACAUGAGUAAACAAUAAAACGGAUGUCUCAAUUACGAUUAUAACCCUUCGAAGUCUGCAAAUACUAAUGAAGUCUGCUCAGCAGACUGAUAAAGAAGUCUACUAUAAUAUUAAAUAUUAUUUUUAAAUUUAAAAAUUAUAUAAAAAUAAUGUAAACUGAAGUUUGUUUCCAUAAAUCAAAUGUCAACAAGUAUGAUCUAUAAAAAUUAUAAUUUAAUAAAUAUGAAUCAUUUUUAACCAUCUAAGAUAAACAUAAAAAGUGAAAAUUUUUAAAUUAGGGCUGCAGACUUCUUUAUCAGUCUGCAGAGCAAACUUAUAAGAAGUCUGCUAUAUUAUUAAAUUUUAUAUUUAAAAUUUAAAAUUAUAUAAAAAUAAUUUAAAUUGAAAUUUGUUUCUAUAAAUCAAAUGUCAACAAGUAUGAUCUAUAUAAAUUAUAAUUUAAUAAAAUAAAUUAUUUUAAACCAUCUAAGAUAAAUAUCAAAAAUGAAUAAUUUUAAACUAGGGUUGUAGACUUCUUUAUAAGUCUGCUUAAACCGUAAACGAAAUUAAAAUCAAAUAUUGAUUUAAACCAGAAAUAAUUAACCUAACCAGAUAUAACCGGAUAUUUUUACCCUAUUAUAUAAAUGAGAUUUUACCCUAAUUCAGAAACUCUCCACUUUGAUCACUCUCUCCAAAAACGGCGCUGCAUUUUCUCUGUUGCUGUAACCUCUUUCUUUCUGUUCUCCAUUUUUGCUAUGUUCUUCGUUCACUUGAGUUCGGAUCUGCAAUCAUCUACAACAAGGACCAAGCUUCGGACGACCACGUAAGAAUCUGUCCCAUUUAAUUAUUUUACAAAUUUUUGUUGAUUUCAUCUUCUAAUGCUAUUUUGGUCGUUUUCUUUGUUAUUUCAUCUUAUUGUUAGUACCGAUCAACCAGAACAACACACCUCCUUCUCCUCCGCCGUAAUCGUAACCACCUCCGAUGAGAAGGAUGAUUCGAACAAGCAGAUCGUUCCGGCGUUUAUCACGAAAUCGGAGACGAAGAAGGAAAAUAUUCGGCCGGUGACGGAAUUUCGGAGGACGGAAUCGGCGAUAUAGAGACUGAGCAGUGAGGAGUUUCGUUUGAAGGUAGAGAAAUUCAUAAUGGAGAAGAGAGGAGUCUCGUUCUGGAAAACGACGCCGUCCAAUGGCAAGGACUUGUUUGUGCUGUCUCAGGCUAUGGCUCGUGCUAAAAGUUAACUAGCAAGUAUUAAAAACACAUAUAACUUGGAAGAUAAUUUUAGGAGCCGGUGACUUUUUAGAUUCGCUGGUCUUUAUGCUCUCAUCAUCAGAGAUGCUUAUGUUUUACGACGUUUAUCUUUAUUACUAAUAAUAAUAUAAACCAGUGUUCUAAAAAUCGGUUUCUUCGGCUGCCUAGGCACCGAGUAGGCGCUAAUAGAUGGUGGACCGCCCCGAUUUGGCUAUAAUCGGUUAAAAAAUCGGCUAAAAUGAAAAAAUUAUCUAAAACUUAAUUUUUUGAUUAUAAAUCGGUAAACUAAUGAAAGAUUUAAGCUAUUUUGAUCAAGAUAUGUGUGUAACUGAUGAAAAAAAAGGUAGAUAUACGAAAAUGUCAGAAGAAAAAAAACAGGGACAAUGGUGGCCACUAGGGUUUUUAGGGGAAGAAGAUUGCUCAUGGAAAAAUGACGAUUUUAUCCUUCUCAUUUAAGUAAAAAACAAGACAAAUGCUCUUUAAAAGUCUCGAACCUCGGGUUGGAAGCAAUAAAUAUGACUCCCUAACCACUACACCACGUUGACAUAUAGGUCAUAUAUUCAACUUUACUAAUAUAUAACCUUUAUAUAUAUAAAAUCAUAAAAAAAUAACCAAAACUGGAAGCAUAAUGGUUCGAACCCACGUACUUUGGGCAACAAGAGAAUCUGUUUCCACCAGACCACAAGAGUUUGUUAACGUUGUAUGCGUUAAUAAAGUAAUUUAUAUACUAUCAAGACCGUUAACAAAAGUGGCUAAUAGUUAAAGUUGAGGACAAACCAUGACAGGUAAAUGCAAGAAUAACUGAUUUUUCAAUCUUAUACAAAUGCAAGAACAAUAACAAAUAAAAAUAAUUGAAAGGAAGUAGACUUCUAAACUUCUUUAGAAGUCUGCGAAAAUAGCUAAAUCAAACAAGAAAAUUCAUUACUUUGUAAUUAUAACACAUAAUAACGUCAAAUUCAUAUAGAUGCAACAUAAAAAACAAAUAAACAUGUCAAGACAAGAAAAUCAUUUUUACAAGUAACAAAUAUUUCAAAAAUGAAUUUUUUAAAAAAAUAAUUAGACAGACUUCUUAUGCAGUCUGCUAUGAUAUGCUAAUACGUAACAGCAGACUUCAUCUACAGACUUCUUUUAGAAGUCUGCUGAGAUGUGCUAAUUACCUUUUAAAUCAAGAAAAUUCAUAACUUUAUAAUUAUAACACAUAAACACACCAAACUCAUAUAAGUGAAAGAAUCAUACCUAAAAUGCAUUUACAAAUUUAAAAAAUUUUAAAAAACAUUACAAAUAUUUUAUAAAAUUGCAUUUUAAUUUUUUUUUAAAAAUGCAGACAUCCGUUCAAAGUCCGCUGGGAAAAUUUCACGUUGAAGUCUUCUAGAAAAAAGGUUAUUUUUGCAUUUGACCAAAUAUUUGACUUUUCGUAGCAGACUUCUUUUUGCAGGCUGCGAGAAAAAAAUGUUAUUUUUGCAAUUGACCAAAAGUUUGACUUUUAGAGCAGUCUGCUAAUGAGUAAAGAAGUCUGCUAUAGUAGAGAAGUCUGCUAUGCACAGACUUCUAAAGAAGUCUGCUUGUAGGUCAGAUUUGCAUUUGACCGAAUCUUAAUUAAUUUAAAAAGAAGUCUGCUAUUUUUUUUUUUGGUAGCAGACUUCUUUUGAAGUCUGCUAUAAAAGUCAAAAGUGGUCAAAAUUUUGGUCAAUUGCAAAAAUAACCUUUCGAGUCAAACUACGAAAAGAAGUCUGCUAUAAAAGUCAAAGAUCGACAAUUUUUUUGGUCAAAUGCAAAACUAAUCUUUUCUUCUCGCAGACUGCAAAAGAAGUCUACAUGAUUUUUUUUUUGUUUACAAAGGACAAUUAUGAAGUCUGCUUACAAAAAUAUGAAAAAAGUCAAUUGCAAAUCUAACCUUUGCGUUGACUAGCAGACUGAAAAAGAAGUCUGCUUUCGCGAAACAGAGCUAAAUGUUAAAGAAAAUAAAGUAGAUGUUUACCUACUUCCAAUUUAAACUCGAUUAACUUUGACAUACACCUAGAAUUUUGUAUAGCACCGAUAGCAAACUAGCUAAGUUGUUGUUAUGCAAGAAUCUCCAAAAAUAGAUGAUUUAUGAAAUUGAAAAUUAUGAAAAAGAGCAUGAAAGAGUUUUUUAGAUGAAAUUGGAGAGAAAUUUGUAGGUAAAAUGAAGUUAUAAGCGACACAAUAAGCAUUUAGAGCUUCAAAAUUGGUUGGGCAAACAUUUAGAGCUUCAAAAUUGGUUGGUAAUGGUGGUUGGCAAAAUUGAAGAAGAUGGCAUUUUCGUAAAUAAGUGAUAUAUUUUAGGAUGGUUGUGUAUUUUUGGUAUUUUUUAGAAAAAAUAAAAAUUGAAAACAUAAUGGCUUUUUCGUGAAUAUAUGUGAGGAGAUAGUAGGAAGAAAAUGGCAUUUGUUGAAGAGGGAGAAAAAAGAGGUUAUUUUUGCAUUUGACUUCAAAUUAUGGGUCAUAUGUGCAAGUACCCCAUAAUUAAAAGUUCUCUCAUGUAGCCUUCAUUUGGCAAGCUACCCAAACUAGCAUUCAUUAAAAAUUAAAAAUUAAAAAUUAAAAUGACAAAAAAUAGGUUUCAAUUAAAAGGAAAUAGAGAUCAUCUUCUCCACCCGUUGAUGGGUCAAAAUUGAUUGUGGCGAUCCUUUGAAUUGAAUAAUGGAAUCUGCUCCUCCAGAAUCAAUGAAUAUAAGGCAUUUCCCAAAAAUUUUGAUUCAAGGAUCAAUCGCAAAGUUCUAAGAGUUUAUGAAAUUGAUUUUAGACUUUGACAGAGUAUUGAUAGCUGAGUAGAGUGAUAACACCGGAUUUUGACCAUUUUUAUAGAUCACUUUAAUGUUUUUUACAUGUGUUUUUACUCCAUUUUCAAAGGUUUUCAAAAGAUUUCUAUGUUUUCGGAUUUUAAAAGACUUUUCAGGUAAUUUGUGACAAAGAGGCACAAAUUGGAACAAAAAGAGUCUUUUGGAUAAAUGCAGACCGUCAGAACUCUCAUAGAGAGACGAAGACCUUCUCACCGUCUGAUCACCCUCAAAACUGGACAACUUAUAGAAGAAUCAACCAGCUUUCAAAUGCACUUGGUUUGGAGACAUUCCAACGGUUGGAUCUCAAGAUAUUCCAUUAGCCCCGGAGCCACUCGAAGACGGCCAGCAAGUCACGCGACCGCGGCCACCAGCCCAUUCCCUGCGGUCACAAGCUUCCCGACCGCGGCCAACCACCUAUUUACCGCGGUCACGUCAUUCCCGACCGCGCCCGGCCAACUCCGAAUUAAAUCCUAUAUUUCUGAAGCCCAAAGUCAUUUCUCAGCCUCAAUUCCGGAACCCUAGAGACCAUGGAGUAUUGAAGACUAUAAAUAUUUGUCAUUUAGGUCGUUUUUAGACACCACCUUCAUACUUUACAGAAACUCAUUUCCUUUAACCGUUUUUAUGCCAUUUUUGUAGAAGAUUGUUCAAGUCUGAGUUCUUCAAUAGAGAAGCUAUCUUUCAUCGCUUUUCUUUACUGUUUUUGAUUACUUUUAUUAAAACCAAUGAUGAUGUCGACCUCAGCCAUGUCUGAGUAGAUCCCGAGUUGGGCUUAGGGUUCCCGAAAGGGGCUCUCAUAAUCGAUUAAGACAUCUAGGUUUAUAGAUCUGAGAUUUUAUCUUUGUUCUCUGUUUAUUCUCGUUCUUAUUGCAUGUAUGCUUGAUUGAUCAUCUAGUAUCUGAUCUAGAUAGUUAGUGUUGCGAAAUUUUUCAUUAAGUAUCAGAUCUAGAAUGAAAUAGGCGAUUUUUCCGUAGGAGUAGAAACCUACCUGCGGCGAGAUCGUGAGUAUUGACGAGUCUUGUGCAGCUCUUGCGUUCUCUCCCUUCCAGGGCCAGAGUCGAAACCUACUGGUCAAGGUUGCGAGAAACAGUUGUUAUGAUCACGACAGUGACGUAGUCAUACCGCCGUACUCUAGCUCUAAAACCCUAUAUUUCGAUAUCCGUCAAUCCCAAUCUAUCACCCCUAGUGUUAAAGCCGAUUAUGAUCCCUGUAGAGUUCCCGAUAGGCCUGGGCACAUUAUCCGAACCCGAAUAAUUUAUCCGAACCCGACCCGAAAAAGAGAAAUCGAACCCGAAUCGAAACUGUUAAAAUAUCCGAACGGUUUUUAAAUUUCUAAAUCCGAAAAACCAAAACCGAACCAAACCGAACCAAAAAUCCGAAUGGAUAUCCGAAAUAUCCGAAAUACAAUUAUAUACCCAAAAUACUAACUACAAUUAGAUUUAAUAGCCUAAAAUUACAAUUAUAAAUCCAAAAUAUGAAUUAUUUUUAUUCUGAAAAUGAUGAAAAAUCCAAAAUAAUUUAAACAUACUAAGUUUUUAGUUAUAUUUUUAAAUUUUGCCAAAUUUUAUUUGAAUUUAACUAAUUUUAUUUAAAUUUAAUUAUUUUUAUUUAAUUUUAUUAUUUUUUGGAUAUCCGAACCCGAACCGAACCCGAUCGAAUAUAACCGAACCCGAACCGAAAUUCCAAAAAUAUCCGAAUGGGUUUUAAAUCUAAAAACCGAAAAUCCGAAAAACCGAAUUAUCCGAACCGAACCCGAAUGGAUAUCCGAACGCCCAGGCCUAGUUCCCGAAAGUUCAGCGUUUUUAGCCAUAGUUUACAAAUCAAUCGAUUUUUACUUGCGUAUUUAGAUCUGCAUUUCAAUUGCUUUAGUUCGAUAUUUUGCUUGCUUUAUUUGCUUUCCAUUCGAUUUUUCUACUUGCUCCUUAUGAUAGAUUUAUUUGCUUUCUUUCGUUUUAGUUUAAUCAGUGACAAACAACCAACCUCUCAAACCAAUCUAGUCUAAACAAAAAGUUAGAAAUCGUAGAAGAAUACCAGGCACACAAAUAUUUGUGGAUUCGAUCCCUAAAUACUACAACUGAUUAGCUGUGCACUUGCGGCUUUCAUUAGUUUUUGUUAAGGGUAAAACGUGUUCCCUCACGCAGUUGACACGCAUCAUAGAGGAAGAUUGAAACAGAUAAUCAUAGAGAGAAGAAGACAGAGAGCAAGGUGCCUCUAGAGGAUGAUUGAUGCCCGAUCAGUUUCAAUUGUCUGAGUGAAUUAGAGUUCGUGGAAGACCAGACGGAAUUGGUGAAUUUGCAGAAAGAAAUGGUUCAUGAUUAUCUCGAUUCCACCGUUGUUGUUGAGUUUGUGGUGCCUUCUUGCAUGGUUUAUGGAUUGUAGCGUAAUAAAAUCUAAGAGGCUCAUUGUUUAAGUGGAAGACGAGGAUUAGUUUUUUCAGUUGUCCUUUAACAUAAAUUGUAUUGAGCUAGUUGUCACAUGACGUUCGUCUAUUUUAUAGCAUCCUAAAAGGUGGUACAAUAGAAUUUAUGCACAAUCAUAUAUUUUGCAUCUACUCCUUCAUAAGAUUGAUAACAUUAUCAAAGGCUUCCUUAUAUCAUAAGGGUUAUUUGAUGUGAAACCACAACUAUUUAACCCUUUGAAAAAACAAUUAUUUUUUAUUUUUUUUUUCUUUCUAGUAUCGACGUGAAAAGAGUCACCUUUUAGUGAAUGCGUUGUGUAGGUUUUUAAUUUAAUAAUGUUACUAAUUAUUAUUUUAACAUUAUUAUUAACAUACAGUUGUACCUAGUUGUCCAGUUGAAUGGUGAGUCCUCGGGUAGAUCAGCAAAUUCUCGGCCAAAAAUGAAGUAGUCAGACAAAACUAAUGAAUUGUGGACAAAAAAAAAUUGUACGUAGUUGUACCUAGUUGUCCUAGGGCAAUUCAGCACAUAGUUGUACCUAUUUACAUAUAGUUGUACCAAGUUGUCCUCGGACAAAUCAGAAAAGUCUGGGAGAAAUUCAAAUACAGAGAAAUCCAAAAGAUCUUAUAAAUUCAAAUACAAAGAAAUCAAAAUACAGAGAAAUCCAAAACCUAGUUGUCCUCACCCUCUUCUCUGAGUCCCUCUUCUUCCCUUGGGUUUAGUGGUUCAAACUAACGUCCAAGAUUUAGACCUGCAUUGGCCUAGUUAUUCCAUUUCGGGCGAGCUUCUUUGGUGGAGGGAUACCGCUUAUUAUGCUUUCUUCCUACUUUUUUGGUGUACUCUAGCGGUAAAACGACUAUAUUUUUGAUGUUCUCAAGAAUAAUCCAAGUGGAAUGAUGCAGCACCAUAGAAAUAGUUCUCUGAUAAGCCAAUGCCCACGUCUCAAUCAAGUAGUAUUUUGAGCAUAAAUAAAAAAAUAUGUAUGUCUUUUCCUCUCUCUAUCAUCUGCAUCAUGGCAAUGGUUGCGGCUCUUACAUGAAUACAUUGAAUCUUGUCUAUAUCAAAAUAUCUACACCCACAUCUUCUCGUUAACAAAUUGACCAGAUAGCUCUUCCCAUCAAGUCCAACAAUGUUGUAUUCAAGCUCACUAACGUUUAGCUCAGUGACAGAUAAGCAUGUCGCAGUUGCAUAUAGCCUAUGCAAUUCGUUUUCCACAUAAGGCACCAAUUUCUUCGAAUAUGAUGCACCAGCAAUGUCUUUCUUAUACCUGUUGGAUGUCUUUCCUUUUAUUCUCAAGUGUGCUGGUAAGGACUCGAGAGAAUCUAUGCAUAUUCCUAUACACUCUAAAGCUAAAAUAGGUUGAAUCUUUCAUUCUUACAGCAUGUAAAUACCAUGAACAGUCGUGUUCAGCUUAGCGGCAUUUUAGAAUGAGUCGUUCAGGAUCCGGAUUUAUACUUUUUACCUUACAACAUCUCUUAUGCGAAGCUCUGUCAACCAAAAACUCGCAAUGCCUCUUUCGACCGAAAUUCUUGAUCUUUCUCAAAACCAGCACUAUCAUCCCAUUCAAGAACAAACUGAGUUGGUUCUAGUGGCCCUGCAGGCUCUACAUGUUCAUGCUCAUCCAUAAAAUCCCCAGGGAAAUCCUUUUUCUCAUAUGGUCGUGAAACAUCAUCGUCACUCACCAUCUGGUUCUCAGUAUCAGGUUCAUUACCAAGUUUGUUCUGUUGUUUCCCUGCUUCUUUCGGUAUGUAAAUAGUCAUCUGGUUCUCAAUAUCAGGCACAUUAUCCGCUUUAUCAAGCUCCUCACAUAGCUCGCCUCUCUUAUCUCUUUCCAAAUCUUCCAUUAGCUUCAAAUUCAAAACAGAUCUAAGUCCAUUUUUAUCCACAGUCGUUAGAUAGACAUAAACAUCACCAUCAUCGACAAUACAUGACUCUGUAUGAGGUUUAGUUACCAACGAAUUGUAGCUCAAUUUGAGCUUCCUCGUACUAUCGUUUACCCCGAUCUUCUUGCAUAUACCAUCUACAAGCAUCGAAUAUGUUAACCCCUCCAAAGAUAAGGUUUUAAAUGAUAUAGCAUAGAUGGAACUUCUUAAAAUUGAUUUAAAUUCCUCUCCUUCCUAAGAAUAACAUCCUUCAUACUCAAAAAUGUAUGUUUGUGUGGCUGCUCAUCUUCUCCUGUAAAUAAAAACAACAAUUUAGUCAAUUACAAAUUACAAAGAUUGUCAAUUUUCUCUCAGUUAUACCAUUUGUACCAGUUGUCAUACAUCUCUCAGUUAUACAUUUGUACCAGUUGUACCAGUUGUCUCACAAUAUUCGAGAAAUUACCAUUGUAAAUCAUGAAUCAGUUUUCUCUCAGUUAUACCAUAUGUACCAGUUGUCCCACAUCUCGGAAAAUUGGCUUUUUCAUAUCUGAAGUAUGUGUAGAUGUUACUUUCAUACCCGAAUUAUAUCACCGUGCACAAAUCUAUAUCAAGUAAAGAAAAUUUUAAAUUAUCUACCUAAACUUUCGAUUUUGUGCUAAAUCAUACAUUUGAGUUAACAUUGUUAUUAUUCUGUUAACUCUUGCCUACGUGGACAACACGUGUGAAUGGCUGUGUUUAAAAAUCUUUAAACGGAAUUUAGAAAUUGCACAAACCACAGCGUUGUGGUUUUCCUAGUUAUACGAAGUCGUUUUGAAAAUAAAAAAUUAAUAAAAAGCAUAGAAGAGGUGUUGUUUCGCUCCCACUUCAUCUUCAACCUCUCGACUUUGACACCCUCGAAACACGCUCACCCCUAUCGAACCAGGUCCGUCUCACUUCUUCUGAUUAUGAUUGUGAUUAUGUUUGACGAUUGAUUGAUCUUGAAAUAAAAGUGUUUUUGGAUGUUUGAAAGUUCGUUCUGGUGCUUUUCUGAGGGAGUACGAAGAAGAAAUUGGCUUCUGGCAUCUUCGAUCCCUUUGUCUCUCAACCGAAUACAAGAAAGAAGGGAACUUUAAAAUCAGGCUUCUCUUCUGAAUAUGAAUACAAGUCAAGAGGUUUGAUAGUUACCAGUAAAUCACCAGCAGAAAUAGCUGAUGUAGUGAGCCGAUUACUGAAAACGAGAAACAAAGAGCGCUUGAAGUACUCCUUGUUCAACCCAUAUGACACUCUCAUAAUCUUUUCCUGCAAAUUACAAGAAAUAAUCAACCACAUAUCGAACAACAGCAUAGACUGAAACCAUAUGGAUAGAAAAAUAAAACAUCUUGCACUUGUAACUAGAUAACCAGGAGUGAGAAAAAAGGAUUCACUUUUAUGAAUUACAAUAGUUUUGUUUUGCAAUUUCACAAGAUACACGCUUUUAUGAGCUAAGAAAAAAAACCCACCAAGUUUCUUCCAUUAAUUUGAACAAGAGAGAUGAAUCCAAGGAAAUAGAAAGAGUAAGAGACGUGGAGAAGACCAUAGAUUACGAUCAUGCUUCCGGACGAAAACAGCUUUCCAUAGCUUCUUCUCCUUCGCUUCUUUACUGAAUCAUCAGACUCAGCCAUUUUUCUUUUAACGAUCUGAUUCUGUCUCUCUCUCUCACACACACACACAUCUACGUGUUCUGGGGUGUCCAGGUUGAAGAAGAAGUGGGAGCACGUCUCUUCUGUGCUUUUUAUGAAUAUUUUUUUUCAGAACCACAUCGUUUAACUAUGGAGACCACUACGAUAUCGUUUUGCGCAGUUUUUAAAUUCAAUUUGAUAAUUCUUAAAUACAGUCGUUUCACACAUGUCUUCCACGUAGGCAAAAGUUAAUGGAUUAAUAACACUGUUAACUCGAAUGUAUGAUUUAGCACAAAAUCAAAAGUUUAGGUAUGUAAUUUAAACUUUUAUUAACUUGAUGUAGAUUUAUGCACGGUCACAUAAUUCGGGUAUGAGAAUAACACCUGCGCAUACUUCGGGUAUGAAAAAGCCAAUUUUCCCUCAGAUCUCACAAUUAUAACAUUUGUACCAGUUGUCCCACUUCUCCCUGAUUCACUACCUAAAAUACUAUGAUUCAGCUUGAUUCAACAAAAAUAAUCGACUAAUUAACAAUGCAAAUACUUAAUUUGCCUACAUAAGUAACUUAUAUAUCCAAUGUCCAUACAGAAACGAGAAAAUUUCACAAAGCGGUCCCUAAUUAAGAAAUUACACAAAACCAUAACCAUACAAUCUUUUCUCAACAAUGGCGGAGAACGGAAGAGGAGGAUGACGAUUGCAGAGGAGGACGAAACGGUGGCGGCUAGGAUCGUCUAUGGUCCACCGGUGAGAUGGGUUCAGUCUUGGUUUUGAGCUGGAGCUCAAAGAAGAAACAGCUCGGGUUCCCUCGAAUAAGAAGAAGAGGAGCGAAUGGAGAGAAAGAAAACCCCAAAAUUAUUUAAAUUAUAUUAAUAUACAUAAAUCAAUUUAAAUUAAAUAAAAUUGAAACAAUUAAAAAUAUUUUUAUCCAGCUAAUUCUGAAAUGCCACAAUAGUGAUUCAUUAAGGGUAUUUUUGGAAUUCUUUUUCUAUUAUUGGCAUCCGGAUUCAUUUAUGGCAUCCGGAUUAAUUUAUGACACCCCAGAAUUUUUUACCCAUUUAUGCAUUUUCAGCGCUAUUAAUCCUUCUAAAACUCUUUUAAAAACUACUUUCUAAAGCUACUAGGCCUUACUGAGUUAUUAAAAGAAAAAUACCAAUUGGUAGCGAUAGAAAAUAUGAAAAUUAGAUAGGUAGUGAGUUAGUGACCAUGUAUUAAAAUUAGUUUACUAGACAGAAAUUUUUUUAAAAAAAAAGAAAAAAAAAUCUGGUAACUAAAGAUUGCAAAACUAAGUCAACAAAAAUUAUCGACUUUCAUCUAAAAUUAGGUGAAUUUGGGUUUCUUGCAUGUUUUACGUAUUUAUUGUUUAACAUCUUACUAUGCCGUUUUGAUACCACUUCAAUGAAAUUCUCAUGAUCAAUAGGGUUAUCGUCCUCCUAAGAAGGAUCGUCUCGUGAUUCAGAGCUUGAACUUGUUGGAGGCUACGAUUCGAGAGAUGAUUACUCCCCUUUCAUUACUCUGUUUUUUUUUUUUAAGAUUGCACCAAGAUGGCUUCGAAGUUUGUCAGUUUCUUGAAUCCUUUAAAACUUAAAAUCUUGAGACAGAUUUGUUCAAAAAAAGAAAUAUUGAGACAGAAUCUUGACAGAAUUAGCAACAACUAUGUUUCCUGGCUGUAUGAAUGGAAGGAAUGGUCUUAAGAUUAAGUUUAUCGAGAGGUUUAAUUCAAAACAGUCUCUCUCUCUCCUCUAUCUAUCUCUCUUUCUCCCUGUAACAUCCCGAUUUCUGGUGUAUGCGGAGAGGCUUAAAAAAACUGAUUUGGCUACCUGUGUAACCAAAGUGCAUUUAUAUUUUCGGCACUGGUUUUGAUACAAUUCCAAAGUUAAGCGUGCCUGAGCUGAGAAAAUCUCAGGAUAGUUGACCUAUCGGGAAAUGGUCCGUGGUACCGUGCGAGUGAGGACAAAGCACGGGGAAAGAUCAUGUGGUGAUUUGUAGGAUCAGUAAACAAGUCUUACGAGCCUUCGAACUAACGCAUACACCAUUGGACAAGAGUGGGCCCACAAGCCAAGAGAGGCGUUCGACUCACUGAUAGGGGCGGCUGGGGCGUUAUAAGUGGUUCGGAGCCGUACAUGUGGGCUCACACCGUCUAGGGUGAUGAUUCUGGUGCGCAACAAGGGCGUUGCGCAUAUGAAUAUGGGUGAAUUGUAACAUCCCAUUUCUAGUAUAUGUAGAGAGGCUUAUAAGAAUUGAUUUGGCUACAUGUCACCAAAGUGCACUUAUCUUUUCAUGCACUGGUUUUGAGAGAACUCUAGAGUUAAGCGUGCUUGAGCUGGGAAAAUCUCAGGAUGGAUAAUUCUAUCAGGAAGUGGUCAGUGGUACCGUGCGAGUGAGGACAAAGUACGAAAAAAUAUCAUGUUGUGAUUUAUAGGAUCAGUAAACAAGUCUUACGAGCCUCUGAACUAACGCACCGACUGUCGGAAAGGGAUAGGCCCAUAGGCUGAGAGAGCGAGCGUUGGGUUCAUUGAUAGGGGCGGUUGGGGCGUUAUAAGUUGUAUCAGAGCCAAACCCAAAUACGUGUGUGGAUUCAUGUGGGCUCACACCGUCUAGGGUAACGAUCCUGGUGUGCAACGAGGGCGUUGCAUCUGUGAGUGGUGGUGAAUUGUAACAUCCUCAUUUCUGGUAUAUGCGGAAAGACUUCUAAUAAUUGAUUUGACUACUUACGUCACUAAAGUGCACUUAUCUUUUGGGCAUUGGUUUUGAGAGAACUUCAGAAUUAAGCGUGCUUGAGUUGGAAAAUCUCAAAAUAGAUGAUCUAUCGGGAAGUGGUCCGCGGUAUCGUGCGAAUGAGGAUAAAACACCAAAAAAAAUUCAUAUAAUGAUUUAUAGGGUCAGUACAUAAGUCUUAUGAACCUCUGGACUAACACAAAUCGUCAGACGAGUGGAUCCACAGGCAAAAAAAAAACACAUUGGAGUCACUAGUAAAGGCGGUUGGAGCGUUAUACUCCCUCUCUCUCUCUCCUUCGCUUCUCUCUCUCCUUCGCUUCUCUCUCUCGAGUCUUUUUCCUUCUUGUUAUAGAUCCACUGUCAUAGAUGAUCAUUCAGAACUUACCCAAAAUAACGAGUACUGGUAUAUGAAAUGAAUAUCAAAGUAACGCUGAAAAUCUAACUGUAGUAGAAAUCACUUUUUGUUUUUGUUAGUUAAACUUUUAAUACGCUACUCUUAUAUAGUGGAAUCACUUUUCAAAAACAUGAAAACAUAAAAAGUUGAUAAAAUAUUAUCUUUCUUUUGUCAAAGUUGAAUAAGUGGUAUACCAUUCAUCAACAUAGUUUGAAAACGUUUUAUACGAUCCAUACAAUAGAGUGAACAACGUCGUGCAACGUUAAAUCGUAAUCGUCUAAUUAACCGGUAUCAAGUAUCAGUAGGGAAAUACAUACCUCCCAAAAUUAGUCAAAGCAUUAUUACUUAUUCUAGACACGUUUAGCUUUUAAACAAAGAAACAGAACAUAAAUUAUUUAUUCUAUAUCACAUAAGACGGUGCAAAUUUAUUAAUUUUUCAAAAAGAUUUAUCCAAAAUAGGUGACCCAAUGGGUUAUAAAAAAUAAUACACUCUUACAUUAUUAGUUGGGCAUGAAGAGACUCCAGCUUAGUUUUUUAAUUUUAUUCUUCUUUGGCAUUUUUUAAGUUCACCUAAGGUCCAAAACUGAUAAUUUAAUACUUCAAUUUUAAGUACUGGUCAUUAUACGUAUUUGUGGUAAUGGAGGGUGCUAGAAUAAUUUAAGUGCUGGUCAUUAUACGUAUAUAUGGUAAUGGAGGGUCCCAUUCUAGCUGUCAAUUUAUAUAUACAACCCAUUGGGUCACCUAAUUUUAAGUCUAACAGAGACUUCCAUAUACAAUCUCAACUACAAAAAGGAAUUGAUUUUAUUUAGGGAUAUAUCUCCUAGAAUAAUUGAUUUUUUUUAAAAAAAAAGGAAAGCGACAUAUAUGUUUUUCACCUAAUAAAUUACAAAUGAACCAACUAAUGGCUUCAAACUUGAAAGAGUCGGCUAUGUAAGCAGUUUCUUAGUUUCA
rnacentral:lncRNA from 1 species